AAAAAAGUGAGUAUAUCAAGGAAAUUCUUAGAUAUUAAUAUCUAAGGACCUCCUUAGCAAGGAUGAGCUCAUGGUCAAGGAUGAGAAGACCCUCCUCGUUGGUGCGAAGCCAGUCGCCGUCUUUGGGCUCAGAAACCUAGAGGAGAUCCCAUGGAGUCGUAUGGUGCUGAUAUUGUCCACUGCAAUGUUAAAAGACGAGGACAAAGCUGCUGCUCACUUGAAGAUGGAGCUGCUGGGAUUGUUAAUGAUGGGUCUGAGAUGGUGUGCCAAAUGAAAGGCACGGUUGGAUUGAAUGUUCCUCUCAUGAUGCAGGCUUGAACCUUCAAUGGGCAAGAGGCAAGGAGAGAAAGAAUGACUUUGUCGUUAAGGGUACGAUACGCUUGGAAGAACUUGUGAUUUGAAUGCCACAUGCUUUAAGGAAACAACUAGUUGAUGAUUGUGAAUCAGUUACUCAUCUGGGCAAGGUAGAUAUGUUCCUUUCCAUACAACAUUUUAAACAAUGCCUUAAGUUAUCUUUCUGGAAGUGGCUUUGUAUAAUUUUAUUUGGUUCUUGUUUUCUCUUAGUCAGUUAUACUCUCCAAGUUUUCUAUUUUUGUCACAACUAAAAUUAAAAACCUGUAUUCUUUUCCUAUUCUGUUGGCGUAAAGAAUAUGUGAUUGGUCAGAAGUCUUGAGCAGGAAGUGUCCAUUAAAACUAAAAUUGUUAGCUCCUGCCAGUUUGUCCAAGUGUAGAGAGUAAAUGUUUUUGGGGCAUAUACUUGUUGAAUGGUGGGUCUGGCAUAUUUCAGAUGUUAUUAUGUGCAUAGCUUUUGAUGUUCUUAAUUCUGAUGCAUCCUUCCAUUGCAUUGUAAAUCUCCCAAAAAAAAAAAUGCCCAAAUUAUAUCCCAUAUUCACUUGAUAUCCCAUAUAUUUAGGCCCAUAUCCAUUCUUGUAGCUUGUUAAACUUCCCCGUACUCUAAAUGUUGAUGACAUACUGAAGAAGUAUCUAGAAUACAGAUCAAACAGCGAUGAUUUGCAACAAGAACCAAUUAUCAAAAUUUUCCAGCUGUUUUAGAGGAUAUAUUUCUAGAUAAUGUUUUUAGCUUUUUCUCUUUUCUUUCCAUAUCGAAAUGGCUCCAAUGGCCUUGAUUUUUUCCAUAUUGAGAAGGCUCCAAUGGCCAUAUUGAGAAGGCUCCAAUGGCCUUGAUUUCUUA